GGCCCCGUAGUUCAGGUGCACAGAACGCCGCGCUGCUAACGCGGAUGUCGCGGGUUGGAUCCCCGCCGGGGCCA
rnacentral:tRNA from 1 species